AUCCAUUUGACGAGUCCCAAAUAGGACGAAACGCGCAUCCUGAAU
rnacentral:hammerhead_ribozyme from 1 species